rnacentral:rRNA from 1 species
CCUACGGUGUGCAGCAGUGGGGGAUAUUGCACAAUGGGGGGAACCCUGAUGCAGCGACGCCGCGUGGGUGACGGAGCGUUUCGGCGCGUUAAGCCCUAUCGGCCGGGAAGAAGAUGACGGUACCUGACCAAGGAGCCCCGGCUAACUACGUGCCAGCAGCCGCGGUAAUACGUCGGGGGCACGCGGUAUACGGAUUUACUGGGUGUAAAGGGGGCGCAGACGGCCAUGCAAGCCAGGAGGGAAAGCCCGGGGCCCAACCCCGGGACUGCUCUUGGAACUGGAUGGCUGGAGUACAGGAGGGGCAGGCGGAAUUCGUAGUGUAGCGGUGAAAUGCGUAGAUAUUAGGAGGAACACCGGUGGCGAAGGCGGCCUGCUGGACUGUGACUGACGUUGAGGCCCGAAGGCGUGGGGAGCAAACAGGAUUAGAUACCCGAGUAGUC